UCGGACUUAGCGGCGGACGGGUGAGUAACGCGUGGGAACAUACCCUUUGGUACGGAAUAGCCUCGGGAAACUGGGAGUAAUACCGUAUGUGCCCUUUGGGGGAAAGAUUUAUCGGUGAAGGAUUAGCCCGCGUUGGAUUAGGUAGUUGGUGGGGUAAUGGCCUACCAAGCCGACGAUCCAUAGCUGGUUUGAGAGGAUGAUCAGCCACACUGGGACUGAGAUACGGACCAGACUUC
rnacentral:rRNA from 1 species